UUUUUUUUUUUUCCGGAGCUGGGGACCGAACCCAGGGUCGAACUGAAAGAUCCCACGCAGAGAGACCCUUACUCAAGUCUUGGGAAAUCGCGGACCCCAGACACAGAGAGACCA
rnacentral:pre_miRNA from 14 species